rnacentral:snoRNA from 1 species
UGGAGGUCUGAGAAGGUUCCACAGCUUGUUGUGCUGUUGAAACCGGUUUUUACCUCCAAAAUGAACACACAGACACACAAUAU